UACGGGGGGAGCAAGCGUUGUUCGGAUUUACUGGGCGUAAAGGGCGCGUAGGCGGCCACCGCAAGUCGGUUGUGAAAUCUCUGGGCUUAACCCAGAAAGGUCAACCGAUACUGCGGGGCUAGAGUGCAGAAGGGGCAACUGGAAUUCUCGGUGUAGCGGUGAAAUGCGUAGAUAUCGGGAGGAACACCAGUGGCGAAGGCGGAGACCUGGGCCAAUACUGACGCUGAGGUGCGAAAGCGUGGGGAGCAAACAGG
rnacentral:rRNA from 1 species